rnacentral:snoRNA from 1 species
CGGGUCGCGCAGUGAUUAUAACACAUUCCUCGUACUGAAUGCCCGUCGUGGCAUGACAGACAAGAAAACACCCAUAGAAUCUGAGCGCU